GGUGGAGUCGGGAGGUGCGGUGUGGCCGCUACAAGACUUUAAGGUGCUCAUAAGGAGUGGAGGAGAGCGAGGAGAAGGACUGGGGAGUCGGAGGACGGGGAGAAGCGUGCGGCGCAGUACGGUGCUGAUGUCUCCAGAACAACAAUCUCCAUCUGCCGAGACCUGUUGCCACGGGAACUGGUCACCAGGCACUCCCAGAUGCCAGCGAUGCCCACGUCAAUGUUGGAGAGGAUGACCUCGCUGGAGGCGGGAUGAGAGCAGAGGCUGUGAAACUGCCUUCCAUUUUUUAAUGAGGAAGACAGAGACGUGCGUCUGGAAGAAGGAACAGAAGAAGAAGAUGAUAAAGAAGAAGAAGAAGAAGCAGAAGAGGAAGAAGAAGGAGGAGAAGAAGAAGAAGACACUGAGCAUCACAAACUAAUUGGUGGGUCAUUUGCUCUGAAUGUUUUAGUUCGCAAAUUAAACACAUGGCAAAUUUGCAUGAGAUUAAAAUCACUGACAAUCUCUACAGUUAUUACAAAUCAGUGAGUGUCCCCAGGUAAUAUGUACUAUUAUUCCCGUGCAAAUAGGGCACAGGAUUUAGAUUCCCAUCAAUGUUAGAUCCACAGGGUUGGGAUGAGCAAAACACACAAUGAAUAGCUGUCUGAGUUCAAUACUACAGGGCUCAGCAUCAUUAACAAUUGAACCAUGUUGUUUAUAAAUCUUUUAUCAUAAUGUUCACAUAUUAAAUCAGGAUUGGAAACUAUGAUAACUUUACUGGAUGUGGCCACCGACUUCAGUUUCCUACAAAGACUGCACUGCAAAUAAUAUGUCAUAACAUAUCUUUGAAUGCAGCUUUCCUUUAAAAAAUGUUACGUAAUUCUAAUAUGCACAUUGGACGAAAGACACCAGUCUGGAUUGUGUAAAG